GUCCACUCUCUGGUAAGGGCCCAGGCAGAACACCUGGUCGAUAGGCCGCAGGUGCAAGCACGGCGACGUGCUCAGCCGAGCGGCACUAAUAGCCCGAGCUCC
rnacentral:rRNA from 1 species